UGGUUCUGGCAUCGAUGAAGAACGCAGCGAAAUGCGAUAAGUAAUGCGAAUUGCAGAAUUCAGUGAGUCAUCGAAUCUUUGAACGCACAUUGCGCCCCGUGGCAUUCCGCGGGGCAUGCCUGUUCGAGCGUCAUUACACCCCUCAAGCACAGCUUGGUGUUGGGCGCGGCCCGUGGCGGCCGGCCCCAAAGACAGUGGCGGUGCCCUCGCGGCCCUGAGCGCAGUACUUCUUUCUCGCUUUAGGACGCGUGGGGGUGGCCAGCCUCGCAACCCCUUCUUUCUGUGGUUGACCUCGAAUCAGGUAGGGCUACCCGCUGA
rnacentral:misc_RNA from 1 species